CUGUUGGCCAAAUCCUUCAGCUUCACCGUGAUCUUCACUUUGUACUCGGUAGAAGGCUUCAAAUCGCCCAGCUCGAACUCGAGCUGCGGAGUUGCGAUCAGGUCGUUUGGUGGCGCAAAUACUUGCGACUUCCAGCUCGACGCGUCCAUGAAGUCCAACUAGAACCUGUGGCACCGUGAAAACGAGUCGAACGGUGUUCUCGUCGAGAGCCUCGAGGACCUGUACGGUGACCUCGUCCGAGGAGGAAGCAACAGGGAAUCCAGGAAUGGCACCAGGCAAUGGAAAGCCCGCUGGCACGUUGUGCUCCAUACCUAGAUUUCACGAACAAAGAGCAGUGAAUAGAAUUCUUACGGUCGGUCCUCCGCAGGAAAGUUCAUGGUCGUUGACAUUUACUUCAACGGGGAAUCCCUUGCGCCAGGCGCUGCUUCUGCUAAUGGGAUCAACCAUUAUGCCUUGUCCAUGAAUUUCCCAAAGUAAA